CCUACGGGAGGCAGCAGUGAGGAAUAUUGGUCAAUGGGCUUACGCCUGAACCAGCCAAGUCGCGUGAGGGAAGACUGCCCUAUGGGUUGUAAACCUCUUUUGUCAGGGAGCAAUUGGCGCUACGUGUAGCGUUAUCGAGAGUACCUGAAGAAAAAGCAUCGGCUAACUCCGUGCCAGCAGCCGCGGUAAUACGGAGGAUGCGAGCGUUAUCCGGAUUUAUUGGGUUUAAAGGGUGCGUAGGCGGAAUGCCAAGUCAGCGGGAAAAUAGCGGGGUUCAACCCCGCUCCGCCGUUGAAACUGGCGUUCUUGAGUGGGCGAGAAGUAUGCGGAAUGCGUGGUGUAGCGGUGAAAUGCAUAGAUAUCACGCAGAACUCCGAUUGCGAAGGCAGCAUACCGGCGCCCAACUGACGCUGAAGCACGAAAGCGUGGGUAUCGAACAGGAUUAGAUACCCUUGUAGUC
rnacentral:rRNA from 1 species